ensembl:lncRNA
GGGAUGAGGCCGGGAUGAGUAUGAGGCCGGGAUGAGUAUGAGAACAGGAUGAGGCCGGGAUGAGACCGGGAUGAGGCUCGGAUGAGGCCGGGAUAAGGCCGGGAUGAGACCGGGAUGAGGCCGGGAUGAGUAUGAGAACGGGAUGAGGCCGGGAUGAGUAUGAGGCCAGGAUGAGGCCGGGAUGAGGCCGCGCUUGUUCCGGCUCCAUCGCCGCGCAGCUGAAAAGUGCUGUCAAUUACAGCAAAGUGUUCCGCUGCACAGCCGGCGUGCACAAGCCCACGCGUGUGCUUUUCAUUCUUCAAUUUUAA